rnacentral:lncRNA from 1 species
AAAAGGCCUUAUGCAUGAUGUACCUUUGGGCAUCAGAAUUAAAAGAAAAAACUCUUAACAGAGUACUGCCAAAAUGAGGAAGAAAAUGAAGAAUCUUAUUACAGACCAGAAUUUUAUAAGCCAGAAGCGGAAGGAUUCAAGUGCUGAGAAUUCACAGACACAAAUGGGGAACAGAAGAAAUCGCAGUUACUUGAGACCAGCAGAACACUGGGAAUGGCUAUGGCUAAGGCAACUCUUCUUCAAGUAAGUGUAUUUCUGAAGAAAAAAGAAGACAUCAGAAAACUGAUGGUCAGGAAAGAGAUCACAGUAGCUGCACUCUACUAGAAAGAACAGUGGACACAGAUGCUGCUUAUAUGUAACAGAGAAAACUAUAAACAUGUUGCCUCGAAGCUCUGGUGUAUCCUGUAACUGAGCCAGGGGCCAUUCAGCUAUGGAAUGUUCAGCUGUGUGGUCACUUUGUGCCCAAAACCUCACCACAUCCAUGAGGAAAAUCACAUUCACUGGAAGUCAAAGCUUGUGUGUAGAAAGACAGAUAUGCUGUUGUAAUCUUUAAAUUCUUCAUUACCUUAAGCAUGUAUCAUGGCUUUUGGCAUUUCUCUCUUAUUAAACCUUCACCUCCUUUAGGGGUCAGUCAAAGCACAGGCUAUCUGUACUGCCACUAGAUACCUAAUGAUAACCCGUUAUGUGUGUCCUUCAGUAAAAUGAAAUUA